AAGAGGGAAUGAGUGAAAUUUUUUGUGUGCGCGUGUGUGUGCGAUUGUGAGAGGGGAGCGUUGGGGAGCGCGGCAGAUUUGAGCCCGCUUAGCGAUGGCUCUCUUCAGUUUGGUUCGUUGACGGUGGUGGCAGCGGCGUUGGCGUCUGUGCCAGUGUGUGCCUGAGGUCGCGUUCAAUUGCGUUUUAGUUGAAUUUAUUAAUAUGCCCACAUUUUGUUUUUGUUUUUGUGUGUUUUACAUUUGCUUCUGCUUCGUUUUACGUCUGCGCUUUGUUGCCUUGUUUUGCAGCCGCGGUCGCGCAGUCUCGUAGUUCAGGCUCUUGUAAGAAUUUACAAACAACAUUUGGAGCACACAUGUUGAACAAGACGACACUGAGCGAGAGAGAGAGAGAGAGAGAGAGAGAGAGAGCAAGAGAGAGCACAUAUAGAUAAAGCGUAGAAGCGAGUCCGAUUUAUUGUACGCGUGUGUGUGAGUCUUGUGGAUGUUAAUGCCCAACAUUUGUGUCUUGCAACGUUUUGUGCGCUGCCCAUUGCAAACGGCGAUAACAACAAAAUUCCCGUGCAUUCAUUUAAGCCGCAGAAACCCAACUGCGCUGUUCUUACUACUUAAAGGAAAAGGCAUUAAAAUUAAAAUCUUAACACAUAAUUCUGUUGCAAUAAGUGCAGUUAAAAGGUGAUGUGAUUCGCAUAUAAAUCCGUAUUUAAAGUAAUAAAAUAAUAAUGCCACAGGCAUGUGAAUAUGUGAAUAUUUGGG